rfam:Actinoplanes derwentensis strain DSM 43941 genome assembly, chromosome: I
CUUCACCGAACCCAACCACAACGGGUCACCGGAACGAUCCUGACCAUAGGUGGCCAGCAGCGCCUGCGCCUC